GGUUGUAUAGUGUAGUGGUGAGCACAUCGGUUUUUGAAGAGGUUUCUAUAAACCAUAUUCGUCAGCUACCGAUAACCCAGGUUCGAACCCUGGUACGACCU
rnacentral:tRNA from 1 species